rnacentral:rRNA from 1 species
UACGGAGGGUGCGAGCGUUGUCCGGAUUUAUUGGGUUUAAAGGGUGCGUAGGCGGCCCGUUAAGUCCGGGGUGAAAGCCCGUUGCUCAACAACGGAACUGCCCUGGAUACUGACGGGCUUGAGUACAGACGAGGUUGGCGGAAUGGACCGAGUAGCGGUGAAAUGCAUAGAUACGGUCCAGAACCCCGAUUGCGAAGGCAGCUGACUAGGCUGUUACUGACGCUGAGGCACGACAGCGUGGGGAGCGAACAGG